rnacentral:rRNA from 1 species
UACGGGGGGAGCAAGCGUUGUUCGGAUUUACUGGGCGUAAAGGGCGCGUAGGCGGCCACCGCAAGUCGACUGUGAAAUCUCCGGGCUUAACCCGGAAAGGUCAGCCGAUACUGCGGGGCUAGAGUGCAGAAGGGGCAACUGGAAUUCUCGGUGUAGCGGUGAAAUGCGUAGAUAUCUGCAGGAACACCCGUGGCGAAAGCGGCGCGCUGGACCACUACUGACGCUGAGGAACGAAAGCUAGGUGAGCAAACAGG